GAUGAACGCUGGUGGCGUGCCUAAUACAUGCAAGUCGAGCGAAUGGAUUAAGAGCUUGCUCUUAUGAAGUUAGCGGCGGACGGGUGAGUAACACGUGGGUAACCUGCCCAUAAGACUGGGAUAACUCCGGGAAACCGGGGCUAAUACCGGAUAACAUUUUGAACCGCAUGGUUCGAAAUUGAAAGGCGGCUUCGGCUGUCACUCUGGGAUGGACCCGCGUCGCAUUAGCUAGUUGGUGAGGUAACGGCUCACCAAGGCAAAGAUGCGUAGCCGACCUGAGAGGGUGAUCGGCCACACUGGGACUAAGACACGGCCCAGACUCCUACGGGAGGCAGCAGUAGGGAAUCUUCCGCAAUGGACGAAAGUCUGACGGAGCAACGCCGCGUGAGUGAUGAAGGCUUUCGGGUCGUAAAACUCUGUUGUUAGGGAAGAACAAGUGCUAGUUGAAUAAGCUGGCACCUUGACGGUACCUAACCAGAAAGCCACGGCUAACUACGUGCCAGCCGCCGCGGUAA
rnacentral:rRNA from 1 species